AUUGAACGCUGGCGGCAGGCCUAACACAAGCAAGUCGAACGGUAACAGGAAGCAGCUUGCUGCUUUGCUGACGAGUGGCGGACGGGUGAGUAAUGUCUGGGAAACUGCCUGAUGGAGGGGGAUAACUACUGGAAACGGUAGCUAAUACCGCAUAACGUCGCAAGACCAAAGAGGGGGACCUUCGGGCCUCUUGCCAUCGGAUGUGCCCAGAUGGGAUUAGCUAGUAGGUGGGGUAACGGCUCACCUAGGCGACGAUCCCUAACUGGUCUGAGAGGAUGACCAGCCACACUGGAACUGAGACACGGUCCAGACUCCUACGGGAGGCAGCAGUGGGGAAUAUUGCACAAUGGGCGCAAGCCUGAUGCAGCCAUGCCGCGUGUAUGAAGAAGGCCUUCGGGUUGUAAAGUACUUUCAGCGGGGAGGAAGGGAGUAAAGUUAAUACCUUUGCUCAUUGACGUUACCCGCAGAAGAAGCACCGGCUAACUCCGUG
rnacentral:rRNA from 1 species